CUUACAUAAAGUGCUUACUUCAAUAUAAGCUGCAGGGAAAAUGUUUACUGAGUGGCUUUUAUUUGUUAUUAAAUAGCAAAAGCAAAGAUUUUAUUUGGUUAGGAAACUGAAAGUAGGGACAAUUUUGGGGUGUAAAUUGCCUUUUCAGUCUAAUGACUUUAAAAUAUGCUUUUACUCCGAUGUUCCUGCAAAGUGGUGAACAGAACUACCUGUCUGAGUACGUACCACUAUCUUAAAUUGCAUUUUCCUGCCUGGAAAAGGUAAUUCAAAUGGCCCCAUAGGUAAUUCUCAUUUCUCAGAAAUGUUUUGUUCUCUUUCCAUAAGAAACGUCCUCUUCAUCCCCAGCACACUGGAUACAGCAGCUUUCAUAACAGAGCACGAGCCCACUGCAAAUAGAAAGGCGUUGUGGAUGAGCAGCUGCUGCAAAGAACCAUCCUUUUGCAUAUGAAUUAGACAAGACUCUGGAGGUCCCCACCUUGCUUAUCGCUGAUUCUUAUUCCUAGGAUAGUCGUCACAUCCCAAGUGGUUGAUCCUCACUGCUCCCACAGUGCUGCAAACACUACAACCUGUGGACAAAGAGGAUCCCAAAUGCUGCUGUUGCUGCCAGAAUAUCCAAGACACUGUCACUACUGUACUAGGGAAUGGGCAGUCUCACUGGAUGCCUGUGAUCCUGUACCCACCCUUGGAGCUGGAAUUGCUGCAAUCAUCUGCCAUGCAGAGAGAAUCACAUUGUGUGUUUCUUUUUCUUAAAGUGAAAAGGCAGAGCCCUGCCUAUGUCUAGCUGGAGAAGUCAAUUUCAAUGUCCAAGGCAGGACAGGCCAUGAAGACCUUUGGGCCGGGUGGGGGAAAUCACCUGCUUGGCCUAUCUGUGACCUGAGGAUGUGUGAACAUUUUCUAUUCCCAGAGUGGAUUGCUUCUUGGAAAGUGUUCAGGGAGGGGGGAUAUAUUUGAGUAGAAAAAAGACCCAAUCAGGAAUUAGAGAAUUUUAACUGAUAAUUUAUCAAAAAGAGAAUAUUGUGAACUUAUAGGGACCAAGACAACUUCAGUCACAUUUUCACCUCAAUCAGCUGGAGUGACAUCUUCAACACAAGGAAAGAAAGCAGCUCACAGUGGAUACUUGUAAGUAUCAAUCCAGAAAUUCUGACAUCAGCAACUAUGAACCUGGCUAGACACAGAUGAGAAAGCACUAGUAGUGAGCAUGUACUGAAGAAGUGGGAGAAGGCCAGUAAGAGUCAGUUAAGCAAAGGGGCAAGGAAAGAACAAUGUAGGAAGAUGGAGAGGAAAUGCAUGGUUAUUGCUGUGAUCUGGAUGUGGUUUAAGUGUGUUCAUGAAUGCUCAUGUGUUGGGUGCUUGGUUCUCACUGUGAUUUUGGGCAGUGGGGCCUUAGAGGAGCAGGAAUAGUGGAAGGUCCUUGGUCACUUGGUGGUUUGCCCUUGGGAGUGGUGUGGAGACCCUUGUCUCUCUCUCUCUCUGGCCUCUUGUUAUGUGAUCUCAUUAUUCCCCCACAUGCUCCUGGCAUUGUGACUCCAUCCACCAUCAGCCGGGAAGUCUGCAC
ensembl:lncRNA